UACGUAGGGCGCAAGCGUUUGUCCGGAAUUAUUGGGCGUAAAGAGCUCGUAGGCGGUUUGUCGCGUCGGGAGUGAAAACCGUUGGGCUUAACUCAGGGCUUGCUUUCGAUACGGGCAGACUAGAGGUAUGCAGGGGAGAACGGAAUUCCUGGUGUAGCGGUGAAAUGCGCAGAUAUCAGGAGGAACACCGGUGGCGAAGGCGGUUCUCUGGGCAUGAUCUGACGCUGAGGAGCGAAAGUGUGGGGAGCGAACAGG
rnacentral:rRNA from 1 species